GCCUGGGCACAGUGCUGUCUCCUCAGGGUCAGGGAGACACUUUCAGAAGGAGUAGGGGCACUAACUCACCACCCCCACCCCUGUUGAACCCCCAGCACACUGUCUUGCUCGGCUGCAAGCCCGCAGCUUUGGCCUCAGCUGUUAAUCCUCUCAGAAUAGGACGGACCAGUGGCAGGGAGGAACGCGCGUCUGCCUGUGGAAUGAGAGACUGUGAUUUCUUAACCUUGAUGGAAAAGGGGAAAGCCACAUCUUACCAAACUCUUCCGCUGCGUCGUAGGGAAUUUAAUUACAUUUGGACAUUUGAAUGAGAAGCAGAUGUGGCUCUGGCCCGCCGGCCAGCAGCUCUCAAAGGACAGCCACUCUCCUGUGGUCUGCAGGGCUCAGUGCUAUCUCGUCACGCUGGAGGGUAGCUCGGGGAGACCCCUUCCUGGGAACUAGGAGCCGUACACGCCCAGUGAGGUCACUAGAGCAGACCCUCCCCUCCUGUGCCACAGAUGCUGACGCAGAUGAGAAGUGAAGUGACUUGCCCAGGUCAUUUGGCACAUCUGUGACAGAACUGAGGCCAGAGUGAAGUCUCGGCCUCCUCGCACAGUCCUCCUCCUCCCUGGGCCAUCCACAGGGAGUGGUAGGGCAGGGCUUCUCCCACAUCUGGCCGAUCCUGAGCAUGGCUCCAGCCAGUCCUCAGAUACAUCCAAACCAGCGACAGAGGAGCUGGG
ensembl:lncRNA novel transcript, sense intronic to BCAS3